rnacentral:rRNA from 1 species
UGAUCCUGGCUCAGAUUGAACGCUGGCGGCAGGCCUAACACAUGCAAGUCGAACGGUAACAGGAUAGCUUGCUAUCGCUGACGAGUGGCGGACGGGUGAGUAAUACUUUGGGAUCUGCCUCUGUGUGGGGGAUAACUAUUGGAAACGAUAGCUAAUACCGCAUAAUGUCUACGGACCAAAGCGGGCUUCGGCUCGUGCGCAGAGAGGAACCUAAGCGAGAUUAGCUAGUUGGUGAGGUAAAGGCUCACCAAGGCGACGAUCUCUAGCUGUUCUGAGAGGAAGAUCAGCCACACUGGAACUGAGACACGGUCCAGACUCCUACGGGAGGCAGCAGUGGGGAAUAUUGCACAAUGGGGGAAACCCUGAUGCAGCCAUGCCGCGUGUGUGAAGAAGGCCUUCGGGUUGUAAAGCACUUUCAGUUGUGAGGAAAGUUUAGUAGUUAAUACCUGCUAGAUGUGACGUUAGCAACAGAAGAAGCACCGGCUAACUCCGUGCCAGCAGCCGCGGUAAUACGGAGGGUGCGAGCGUUAAUCGGAAUUACUGGGCGUAAAGCGCACGCAGGCGGUCUGUUAAGCUAGAUGUGAAAGCCCCGCGCUCAACGUGGGAGGGUCAUUUAGAACUGGCAGACUAGAGUCUUGGAGAGGGGAGUGGAAUUCCAGGUGUAGCGGUGAAAUGCGUAGAGAUCUGGAGGAACAUCAAUGGCGAAGGCAACUCCCUGGCCAAAGACUGACGCUCAUGUGCGAAAGUGUGGGUAGCGAACAGGAUUAGAUACCCUGGUAGU